GGAGACGUGCGCAAGGGAGAGCAAGGCGGGGCGGGGGUUUGCACUCACUCCCUCGGUUCCGCAACUAUAAAACUCUUGCUACCUGCUGCAACUCACCAACGCCAGGCUCAGAGGAGUCAGCUGGACAUCGGUAGCUACCGUCUGCACUGCACCAGCUCUGAACGCCCCGAGCCAUGGAUCCCCAAAACUGCACCUGCCCUACUGGAGGCCCUUGCACCUGUUCUGGCCAUUGCAAAUGCAAAGACUGCAAAUGCACUUCUUGCCAGAAAAGAGGCUGCACUACCUGCUGCCCUACUCAGUGUCCUAAGUGUUCCAAGGAUUGUACCUGCAAAGGGAAUGACAAAGGCAGCUGCUGCCAUUGAGGGAACUGCUGGCUUCUUGUAAAUAUAACCAUUGUUUCCUAGAGGCAUGAGCUGUGUCUUGCCUGCCCUAAAAUGCGUUCAUGUGUUUUCAAAUGACAAUAAACUCAGUGAACAAAAUAAAUUCCUGG
rnacentral:lncRNA from 1 species